GUGCAACACCGAGACUGGAAUUAUAAACUAAUUUUGUAUUUUUAUUGUUCUGCGCCAGCAGUUAUUGUUCAUUUAUAUUUAAUCCAUGUAUUUUGCAGAAUUCUGCCAAAUGUUCUAAGAUGCCAUUCUUAGGACAGGGCUGGAUGUCGCCUGGGCAAAACUGGGUUAAGGCUAAGGAAGAAUGGAAAAAACAGUUCGAUUCCGAAAAUAACAUUGUUGCCGAAUUGAGAAAUUCACAAAAACAAGUGGAUACAUGUCCACAAAGGAAGUACUAAGGAGGUAUGAUGUCUUUUUCUGUGGUCAUGUCAGUGCUGGAGAAAUGCGUGACUUCUGGGAUAACCCUAACUCACAUGCUUCCCACAGUGCCAUGGUUACUGUACGUUGAGAGAAGCUUUCAGCUGCUUGGACAUUUCAAACACCAUCAUGGACUCGAUGGCGAUUUGGUUAUGUAUUGAAGCUGCUGGAACUGAUUGCCAAAACCCAGCUGACCUCCCUGAGUGGAGUGGCUCAGAAGAACUACAUGAACAUUCUGGAGAAACAUGCUGCAGAAAGUGCUGAAGGACCAGCACAGCAUGCGGAACAUCAGGGAGCUCCUCCAGACUCUGUACCUGUCCGUCUGUAGCCUGGUACAGGACGUGGGAAAGUCUGUCCUCAUAGGAAACAUUAACAUCUGGGCUCAGCGUUCGGACACCAUCCAGGACCGGCAACAGCAGCUCCGCUGCAUCCAGAUCCGUUGGGUGAGGGGCGGGGCCUGGGGUGGAUGAGGGGGUGGAGCUUGGUGGAAGGAAGUAGACACCAAAUGCCAGCCAUGUCAGUGGAGUUUACAUGUAGGAUGUAUUUUCGUCUGCCUCGUGUCAGGCUCAAGAUUGGAUUCUGACUUCUAGUUUCCGCCUCUCAUCACGUAUUGGCACAUAUAUUUAGAAAAAUUAAACACAUACAUGGAAAGCUUCAUAAUUGUUUCUGUUUGAAACUGACUCAAACAUAAAGUAAAAGAUAUGUUACCAGUGUCACAGGUUUUAAAUUCUUAAUACUAGUCUUUGGUCCCGUGUUGAGGUAAAGCCUCUCAGUUACAGAUUUGUGUGGCUCAGCCAACAAAAUAUGCACUAACAUCACCCUGGAAGGGAGAUGGGUGGCUGGCUGGACCCCAUCUUAUCCUUGACAGGCAACCACUAUUCUGGUUGUCUGCGCUUCUCGUGUUAGCUGCAUAUGUGGUGCAGUCCUGAUGGAACGACCGCACAGCUGGGCCAGUGUAGAGUCAAAAUGGUGGCUGGCUGCGUGCCCACAUGCUAGUGUACACUCUCUUGAAUUGACGGAGGACAUUGGAGGCCAACAAAUACAAUAUGGCUGUUGAAACUGCGAAGGGUAAAAAAUUAGUGAUAGAAAGUUCUGAAAGUCCACAGCGUUGAAAGGUUUGAAGCUGACUGACCUGCCAGCAUGCAGUGCCUGUCGGGUGGGCAGGACCAGCUCAGUCUGGGUCGGGUGUUUUCUGAGCUCCACAUGCUCACAGAGGACUGCCUCCUAUGGAAGAAUCUGUACCAGUACCACUUCACAGACCGACAGGUACCAGCCCAAACUGAGUCAAACAGGGACAGGGACCCCAUCCCAAACUGUGUCUGAGACAGAGACCCUAGCCUGUACAGUAAACAAGAGCAGCAUCAGCAGCCUCCCACACUCACACAGAGAGGUACAGACAUGCAUGCACAUACCCACACACACAUUCACAUGCACACAUAAGUAAAACCAAGAAAGUGUCAAGCCUUGAAAAUGUAAAGGCUAGAAAAAAAGAGGUUCAAUGCAAGAAUACACUUAACACAUACCUACAAGAAAAUAUGUGUAUGGGCACAGAGUAAUACACAAACACACAAGAGCACGCAAGGAAAUGCACACACAAAAAGCAGUAUCUUGCAUGCUUUUCUGAGUCGUGUUGCGCACAUGCACUCCCACUGGGAGCUGCAACUAUAACCACAAGGGCUUUAGGUUGAAAUGCCGUGAGGGGCUCUGCGGUCAUUUCCAUGGGGCUCAUUUAACAUUAGUUGCAAUGUACAAGCUGAGAUCUUUCAGAUGCAGUAGAUUUCUCCAGCUCUUUUUUGGAGUGUUUCGCAUAUAAAUCGCAGUUUUAUGAGCCACGAACACAUUGCAAAUUGUUGCGUUCAUGUAGAAUCCUCGCGAAUCUCUUUCAAGAAACAAGCCCCUGUACAAUAAAAAUACCCAGCGUGCUUCAACGGUGAAUACACUGUAGCAAGCAGCUAUAUUAAAGAAUGCUGUGUAAAAUAGCAACCCAACCUCACCCCCCAGGCAGCUCAUAAUAAUAAACAUUGUCGUUGUCAUCAGAGGUAUUGAAGAGAAGCUUGACGUGUGCUUGUAUUCCACCGAGCACCAUAAGCAUUUUUUGCUGUUUGAAAGGGUCCAUC